CCCUGUCUACCAGUAGCUGUUGUGUCCCCCGUUCGCAGCUCCCUGUAGGUGUUUGAUGAAAUGAAAUGCCGCUGUUGAUUGCUAGAUUAGUGCUGCGAUUAGUCUGACUGUGCUUGCGUUGUCGUGUCACCACCUCAAGAAUGUCAUAGUGUUAGCCCUGCCCUUGAUCAGAAAUUCAGAACUCCAGUGUUUGCUUUAAGGGUUUGGAUAGGAUCUGCUUACUGGAUUUUGCAAGAACAUUGCAAAUGCCUGAUUUCACGUGCCAAGAUCUGAAGUGAAUGCAGUCUUUGCUUCAUGUUAGUUCAAGCAGGGUGUAUGUUUCUAUUCAUCCGUGCACUAGCAGGUCAUUGUACAUUAACAACUGGGUGUCUGGGUCUAUCUAACGAUCGGUGUUAGAGAUUAAAAAAAGGCACUAUAGUGGCCGUUUAUUGAUUUAACAAUUGAUUCUCGUUUUAUCAUCAUCUAUCUGCACCUUUCUCCAAAUGAGUGGCAGCGAACGGUUUUGUAUUUAUUUGCCUGGAACACCAAACUGUAGUUAUCCUGGAUUUCUCUGAUCAAGCCAUUUUGUACUGCAUCAUUGGUAUUUCACAUGGUAAAGCGUUCCUUCACCGUAAUAGGCAGCAAAUGAUUUUGAAAUGCCCAUAUGCAAGCAAUGUUUGUUUCUUAGAUUUAAAUGCGCAUGACAUGCUAUUGAUAUUUUGUUUGUCUAAUUUGACGUAUAAUGAGUGGUUGACUGUGAAGGUCCUCUUUUAAAGUGGAUUAAAAAGGUACUGUUACACAUAGUUUGUUAUAACAGGUUACUUAUAACACGUUCACCUUGUGAUAGGUAUAACAUCAAAAACCAAAAGGAUGUCAGAACUGAUAGCAGACCUUUGCUUUCAUUCUAUCUCAUUUUGAAGGGGUACGGUACUAUGGUUCCCCUACUCACUAUUGUAUAAGAUGUUAUUUACAAAUUAACAGAAAUUAACAAUAAGCAUCCAUUGAAACUCUCUCCCCAGUUUGCUAGGCAUGAACGCUCUUCCCUGUCAAUAUAUGAGAAACAAAUCGAGUACCAAACCCCAAAUGCAUAUACAUUGUCAAAAAAUGAAAAUCCUAUAUAAACGUGUAUGCAUUUUCAUGAGACCUUUUUUUUUAACUAUUGGAUCCUGCAUUUCAACAUUAUUACCAUUGAAAAAUUAUAAGGAGAGAACAUUUGGAUUUCAGUUACAGUACCUAGAGCGGACGACUCAGCGGCCAUCGAUUUCUUUUAGCGGACGGAAGAUGGCGCAUGUCACAAGAAAAAGUUGUCACUUGGCAAUUUUGGUUGAUCCAACGUCCGUUUAGGCAUUAUUACAAUCUACUCGUCUCGGUCACCGGUCACCGGUACCGAAGUCGUGACGGUUCUCUCGUUCAGGGAGAGCCACACGCUAGCCCAGCACGGCAGUACCAUGUCGCCGUCCUCCUCCCAUCCACGCAAGCUACCUGGUGACUCCAAGCGCGCUCUCAGCCACGCCUCCUCAACCUCGCCCCCACCGUAGAGGCCUCGCGGGGAAAGAACCAGGGAGAGUGAGAAAAAUCCUUCCUCCUUGGUAGAAUCUAGAAGGGAGUGGGCGCCAUGGGGAUACUGCUGGUAUCCGGGAGAUUCUUGGUGUGAUUGCCUUCCCUCACGCUCGCCCCUCGCUGCUCCGGAGGCUCCCCGGACAAGCGCGGCAGGGACGAAGGUGACACAUCAUCCACCGACUGGGACAAGGCUUGGUCUACGUUUAAGAAGAAAGGGAAGAAGUCCCUAUUUUCGGAGUUCUCGCCGAACAAAUAUGUGACCUGGAACC